GACGAAGGAUGCAAGCGUUAUCCGGAUUCAUUGGGCUUAAAGGGCGCGUAGGUGGCCUUAUAAGUCAGUGGUGAAAUCUCUGGGCUUAACCCAGAAAUUGCCAUUGAUACUGUAGGGCUUGAGUAUAGUUGCCGUUGGCGGAAUAUGACAUGUAGUGGUGAAAUACAUAGAGAUGUCAUAGAACACCGAUUGCGAAGGCAGCUAACGAAACUAUAACUGACACUGAGGCUCGAAAGUGCGGGGAUCAAACAGG
rnacentral:rRNA from 1 species